rnacentral:rRNA from 1 species
UAGGAGCCGAUGAAGGACGGGACUAACACCGAUAUGUCUCGGGGAGUCGUAAGUAGACGUUGAUCCGAGAAUUUCCGAAUGGGGGAACCCACUGUUCGUAAUGGAACAGUACGCAUAGCUGAAUACAUAGGCUAUGUGAGGCAUACCCGGGGAACUGAAACAUCUCAGUACCCGGAGGAAGAGAAAGCAAAUGCGAUUUCCCAAGUAGCGGCGAGCGAAACGGAAUUAGCCCAAACCAGAAAGCUUGCUUUCUGGGGUUGUAGGACACUCCUUUGGAGUUACAAAGGAAUUCUUUAGAUGAAUCGAUCUGGAACGAUCAGCCAUAGCAGGUAAGAGCCCUGUAAUCGAAAAGGAAUUCUCUCCGGAGUGUAUCCUGAGUACGGCGGAACACGAGAAAUUCCGUCGGAAUCCGGGAGGACCAUCCUCCAAGGCUAAAUACU